rnacentral:lncRNA from 1 species
CGAAGAGCAGGUACUUGAUGCACUUGGUGCAGCCCUCCACUCCCAUGGCGGCGCGGGCGGCGGGCGGCCUGCGGGGCGCGGGCCGGUCCUGGGCGGCGGGCGGGCCGGCGCGGGGCCUGGCGGGUGGCCGGCAAGGGGGCCUGGCGGGCCGAGGGGCGGGGGCGCGAAGAAAGGGGCGCGGGGGCGCGGGGGCGCGGGGGCGCGUGGGGCGCUGGGCGCCGGAGGCCUGGCAGGAUGCGCGGUGGGGUCGCCGCCGUCGCCGCCGUUGCGCGCUCGCUCUCUGGCCGGGCGCGCGCCUCGCUCCGCAGUACUUAUAGGGCGCCGCGGUCCCGCCCCUCCAUAGGCCCCGCCCCGGCCAGCUCACGCCCCGCCCCCGGCCCCGCCUCCUGCCGCCAGGGCGCGCAGCCGAGGGGUAUGGGGUCGCUGCACCUACCCCCAACUUGGCGCGUUUCGGCCAGGACCUCAGGGCCCAGGUGCACCGUGCUGGGCGCGGGAGGCGUCCCCAAGCUGCUGUCGCGCUCCGAGCCCCCAAGGGGGUGGCAGCAGGGCCGCGCCUGAGGACAGGCAUGCAGCGUCUGCCCAGGAGUGCAGCCCCGGUGCCGGGAGAACAACCCAUUCCUCCCUCCCUCAAGCACCUUGGACAAUCUGGGAGGGCUCCCCAAAGGAGGUGAGCACCUUGGACAAUCCGGGAGGGCUUCCUGAAGGAGUUGAUGCCACAGUGGUUGGCUUUGCAAAGACAGCAAGCUUUGCUCACAUUGCUCUCCGGGGCUGGAACCUGGGCAGGCAUGAGGCCCCCUAGUCAGUGUUGGCCUCAAGGUCCUAGUACAGGUAACCAAUCCCUGUCUCACGGAAGGGGAGAAUUGCUGACCCAUGCUGUGGGAGUCUGCAUCUGAAAAGGUCACUGGGGCCUGAGAGGGCAGCUCCCAGAACAGUGUGAAGUGUCCAGGAGGCCAGAGACACCUAUAGGAGAACCUCCAGAUAUUGCAUCUAUUUCGUCUACAUCCUGGUUGUGUCGUGCCCCAGGGAUGCCAGCCUCACACCGUGGCUCUUCCGGAAGGUGUGGGGCCAGGCCUGCUGCACUUACUGCUUUGGGCUAAUGAUUCAGAGAGUGAAGGGUGCUUUCUCCCCAGAGGAAGGAGCGAAGGCCUUUGCAGGAGAUGACACACUGACGAAGGUUUCCCAUGCCCUCUCCAAGAAAACUGAUGGACAACGGGGCUGCAUCCUGGGCGGGGGCUUACCUGGGAACCACGUGGGACCAGGUCCGGAGAACCAUCCUCUAGCCAGCUCGUCUUGGCAAGUGUCGUCCAACCCAGUGCUAGCUGAUAGAACCUUCUGCAACGAUGGGAAUGUUCUGUACCUGGAUAACCCCCUGGCACAGAUGACUACUGGGUACUGGAAAUGUGGCCACAAGGAACCAAAUUUUUCAUUGUGUUUCAUCGUAAUUUAAAUUCACAUGGCCCUGGGUGGCCAGUAGCGCUCACAUUGGACAAAACAGCUCUAUCGUCAUCAUCUGUGCUCUACCGGUUUUCUUGGUGGUUAAUUUGUAAACUGGUUUUGGCUUCAUGCCUGCGUAAGAACUGCAAGCACUAGUAGUUUAUGCCUGGUUUUACAUUUUGUGCCUGUCGAAGUGACAUUAUAAGAAAAGACACUAUAUGGUCACUUGAGAGUCUUCGAGGAUUCUUUUUGUUUAGAAGGGAAUAGAAAAGGGUUCCAGUGUGAGGAAACAUUUCUCUGGAUGUCCUGGACACCUGCUCUCCCAUCAGCUCCCUGCUGUCCCCAGUGAUGGGGACAUUUCCCGUUAAAGGUGUGAGCUGUGUCCUCAGCAGGGGGUGGUAGGUGGAGGGAGACACUGGCUCCACUCUCAGGAAGUGGGAGGAGGGGGCAGAUCCAUGCACACUGUGUCCUUGACCACCAGCCUCAGAAGCAGGCCAUGCCCAGCCAGCAGCCAGCCUGCCUGUCCUCUUCAGCCAUGCAUCAAAUAUUUAGUGGGUGCCUGCUGUGUGUCAGGCACUGUUCCAGGCCCUGGCUGUGGGAGCCAGGCAGCAGACCCCUCCCCUGGAGGAUCUGCAACUCUGGCGGAGAUGACACGUGUCACAGCACGAUGGUCAUAUCAGUGCUGGGGAGGGACGGAAUUCCUAGGAUGCUUGCUAGAGGGUCACAGGGUUGGGGCACUCCUCAACCACGGGGCUGAGGCACUCCAAGUGCAGAGGCUUGGAAGAGCCACAGUGGAUCCAGGCCCUGAUGCCUGAGAAGGAGCCAGCUAGGCAGAGCCGGGGAGGAGCACUCCAGACAGACAGCAAUGAACCAUCCAAAAAUGAAGUGAAGAAGACAAUCUCAUUUAUAAUAUUGGCAAAAAGAACAUACCUAGAAAUAAAUGCAACAAAAGAUGCAUAAAACUUGUGUACUGAAAAAUACAAAAUAUUUUUGAAAGGAAUCAAAGAGUAUCGAAUUAAAUGGAAAGAUAUCCUGCAGUCAUGGAUCAGGAGACAUAAUGUUAAGAUGGCCAAACUCCCGAAUUCAUCUAUAGCUUCACAAUCUCUAUCAAAAUCCCAUCUGUCUUUUUACAAGCUGAUCCUCAAAUUCAUAAGGAAAUACAAGGGUUUCAGAAUAGCCAAAACAAUCUAGAAAGAGAAGAGCAAAACCGGAGGGCUCACAUUUCCUGAUUCAAACUUACUGCAAAGCUACAGUAAUCAAGACAAUGUGGUACUGGCAUAAGGAUAGACCUACAGAUCAAUGCAGUAAAGUUGAGACUCCAAGAACAAAUCCUUGCAUUUAUGGUCAAUUGAUUUUUUUAAAGACUGUUCAAGUGCAGCAGUGAGAAGGCGGGAAAGAGUAGAACGAGGUGUUCCAUCUGUAACUGACUGUGAACAAUCAAUUGAGAUAACUCACUACCUUCAGACCGGCCAUCAGUUGAUUUUUGACAAGGGUACCAAGACAAUUCAAUGGGGGAAGGAAUAGUCUUUUCAGAAAAUGGUGCUGGGACAACUAGAUAUCCAUGUGCAAAAGAAUGAAGUUGGACCCCUACCUCAUGCUGUGCACAAAAAUUAACUCAAAAUGGAUCGUAGACCUAAAUGUAAGCACUAAAAUUAUGAUAUCCUUAGGAAGGCCAGGCGCAGUGGCUCACACCUGUAAUCCCAGCAGUUUGGGAGGCCGAGGCGAGUGGAUCACCUGAGAUCAGGAGUUUGAGUCCAGCCUGGCCAACAUGGUGAAACCAUGUCUCUGCUAAAAACACAAAAAUUAGCUGGGCAUGGUGGUGGGCGCCUGUAAUCCCAGCUACUCGGGAGGCUGAGGCAGAAGAAUCGCUUGAACCCAGGAGGCAGGGGUUGCAGUGAGCUGAGAUUGUGCCGUUGCACUCCAGCUUUGGCGACAGAGAGAGACUUUGUCUCAAAAAAAAGAAAAAAAAAGAAAAGAAAAAAUAAAAUCCUUAGGAAAGAACAUAGGAAUAAAUCUUGGUGACCUUGUGUUAAACAAUGGUUUUUAAUAUACACUACCAAAAGCACAGGCAACAAAAGAAAAAAUAGAUAAAUUGGACUUGGCCAAAGCUAAAAACAUUUGUGCGUGAAAAGACACCAUCAAGGAAGUGGAAAGACAACCCAAGAAAUGACAGCAAACAUUUGUGAAUCAUCUAUUUGAUAAGGGACUAGUAUCUAAACAUGUAAAGAACUCUAACUUAUCAACAAGAAGACAAACCACCUACCUUUAAUGAUGGGCAAAGGAUUAGAAUAGAGCUUGCUCCAAAGAAGAUGUACAUAUGACCGAUAAGCUCAUGAAAAGAUGUCCCCAUCAUUAGUCAUCAGGGAAAUGCAAAUCAAAACACAGCGAGAUACCACGAUGCACCCAUCAAGAUGGCUAUAAAUAAAAGAGACAGACAAUAACAAGUGUUGGCAGAGGUAUGGAGAAAUUGGAACCCUCCUUCAUUGCUGGUGGGAAUGCAAAAUAGUGCAGCCACUUCGGAAAACAGACUGGCCGUUUCUCAAAAUGCUAAAUAUAGAGUUUCCAUAAAAAUCAGCAAUUCCAGUCCUAGAUAUACGUGUGUGUGUGUGUGUGUGUGUGUGUGUGUGUGUGUGUGUGUGUGUAUCCAAGAGAAAUGAAAGCAUAUGUCUGUAUAACAAUAUGCACAUGCAUGUUCAUAGCAGUACUGGUUUGUUUUGUUUUGUUUUGUUUUGUUUUUUGAGACAGAGUCUUGGUCUGUUGCCCAGGCUGGAGUGCAGUGGCGCGAUCUUGGCUCACUGCAACCUCUGCCCCCCGGAUUCAAGAGAUUCCCCUGCCUCAGCCUCCUGAGUAGCUGAGAUUACAGGCACGCAUGACCGUGUCUGGCUAAUUGUUGUAUUUUUAUUAGAGAUGGGGGUUUCACCAUGUUGGCCAGGCUGGUCUCAAACUCUUGGCCUCAAGUGAUCCGCCUGCCUCAUCCUCCCAAAGUGCUAGGAUUACAGGCAUGAGCAACUGCACGCAGCCAGCACUAGUUUUAAUAGCUAAAAAGUGGGAACAAUUCAAAUGUUCAUCAAUGAAUAAAUAAAUAAACAAAAUAUCGGUCUAUCCAUACAGUGGAAUAUUAUUCAGCCAUAAAAAUGAAUGAAGUACCGAUACGAGCUACAACAUGGAUGAACUUUGAGGGUAUGAUGCUGAGGGAAAGAAGCCAAACCCAAAAGACCAUUGUGAUACCAUUUUUUUCAAGUGUUUAGAAUGGGCAAAUUAAUGGAAAGUAGAUUGGUGAGUGGCUGCCUGGGGCUUCGUGGACUGGGUGGGGAGUGGCUGCUAACAGGUGCCUACGGGGUUCUGUCUUUGGGAUGUUGAAAAUGUUCUAAAAGUAGGCAGUGGUGAUGGUUGCACAAUUCUGAGACUACUCUAAAGUCACACCAACUAAGUCUACAGUUUAUGCUAAGUUUUAUGUCAUAAGAAUUUUAUCUCAAUAAAGGUAUAAAAGACCUUCCAAAGGCCAGGUGCAGUGGCUCACGCCUGUAAUCCCAGCACUUUGGGAGGCCGAGAUGGCCAGAUCAUGAGGUCAGGAGAUCAAGACCAUCAUGGCUAACAUGGUGAAACCCCGUCUCUACUAAAAAUACAAAAAAAUCAGCCUGGCACGGUGGCGGGUGCCUGUAGUCCCAGCUACUCGGGAGGCUGAGACAGGAGAAUGGCUUGAACCCAGGAGGCGGAGCUUGCAGUGAGCCGAGAUCGCGCCACUGCACUCCAGCCUGGGGGACAGAGCGAGGCUCCAUCUCAUAACAAAAAACAAACAAUCUUCCAAAAUACCAAUAAAAC